rnacentral:lncRNA from 10 species
GCUGAUCCCUGGCUGUGGAGAGGAUUCUCCCGAGCCCCUGAAAAAAAAAAAAGGUGGAGAGACUUUGAAAACUUUUCUCUCGAAAAGUCUGAGGAGGCAGAGGACGGCCCGGAGUCUCGUAGCGCACCGCCCUGGUCCCACACCCCCCGCAGCCCUAGGAGGAUCGGUGUGCUGAGCUUGUGGCCAGGAGCUCCCCGAGCCACUUUCGCGCGAGCAGCAGAAAACCUGAGCCGCGGCCCGGCGAGUGUCGGCGGCGCUCUGGGGAGGAGAGGCUGGGAAGGGGCUGCGAGAGGUACGGAGGAGACAAGCAGCCCGGGAGGGAGAAUGAACCGGGAGGUUCCUGUACUCCCCCCGCCACCCCAGAUCCUCGUGCUACUCGCAACUGCGGUCUGAGGGGCAGUGGCUUUCCCAGAGUGCACAGAGAAAUGAACCAGCGCCGGUUUUGGUGUUGGGCGAGGGGUUUCCCUCAGCUGAGCACAAAGUCAGGCUGUGUGUCCCAGAUUCUGGCCAAUGGAGAGGUCGUUGAGGGGGUGGGCUGCUGCUGAGUCCUGAGAGAUUCAAAACGCCUGGGCAGCUCAGGAAUUUCCAAAGGGGGAGAUUCUCGGCCAGGAGCUGCGGAGCAACUGCAGCUGCCCAGCAGGAGCCGGCACCCUUCUCUCACAUUCUGCUUGGGAGUCGACUCAGAGGCCUCAAAUCUCAUUACUAGCACUUUGCCCACCCUUUUCUUUUGCUUAGAUGCUACUUAAGAACGUGAGGCUGAGAGGCGGACUUGGUCAGAUCUGCCUGCGUGACAAGCUCAGGACAGGACGCUUCUGCCCUUGCAUUACUGUUGUAAAAGUUUCCACCCAGUCCCUGGUCGCACUGCGUUCCCAUCCCGGCAGAUGUGAACUCAAAAACUUCCUCCGCUGUGCAGUUUCAAUUGGCAGACACACCCUGUACCUGAAUGACUCAGAAGGAGGCAGAAUGAACAAACAACAGACCCCUGACUUCUGGGAUUUUGUGAGUUUGCCAAAAAAAAAAAAAAAAGAAGUGACAGUUAAUUCACAGCUGUUUUAAAGCAUUCAUCGACAGCGACGCACCCAAUACAUACCCACAGCUUCAACAACAGUACAGUGCAUAUAAUGUGGAAACCAAGAUAACGGUCCUCUAAGACUCCAGAGUAGAUCCUAAUUGGAUUUGAAGACUUAUUUCACUUAAAGGGGAAGAGGUAUAUUGUGUCUACCCAGCACAACAAAACGGGGGACUUGGCAUUCCCCCCCUUCUCCCGCCUCCACCCACACUAAUUUAUGCAUUCUUUAAAGCCAAAGGAAUCAAAGUGAAAUUUCACACCUAGUCUGUAUCAAGCAUGUGCUAGGUUAAUUUAACCUUACUGCUCUGUGAAGUAAGUAAGCAUUGCUGGCCAUUUUAUUGUUGAGAGAAGUGUCAUUCAGACAACUAAGGUGACUUGUAGAUUUCCCAGCUAGUGAGUGGCAGAGCUGGGUUCCAAAACCUAAAUAUUGCAAAUGCCUUGCCUUGUGGCUCAAACGCUAUCAGUCAAUAAAUAGUUAAGGAAUUGAAAUAUAUGUUCCUAGAGGGAAACAGACUUCUAGAUUUAAAGUUUUACAUUUGCUGCAUUUCUGACUGUACAAGUCUACAAAAUGCAUAUAAAAGUAUGCUAAUGAAUGUCCUUUUAAAACCACUCAUUUUCUACGUAAGCAUACAAAGUGUAUACAUAUGCAUAUUAAUGAAUGUUUUCUGAAACUUC